CAGCCAGACUCCUACGGGAGGCAGCAGUGGGGAAUUUUGGACAAUGGGGGGAACCCUGAUCCAGCGACGCCGCGUGAGUGAAGAAGUAUUUCGGUAUGUAAAGCUCUAUCAGCAGGGAAGAAAGAAAUGACGGUACCUGACUAAGAAGCCCCGGCUAACUACGUGCCAGCAGCCGCGGUAAUACGUAGGCGGCAAGCGUUAUCCGGAUUUACUGGGCGUAAAGGGAGCGUAGACGGAGAAGCAAGUCUGAAGUGAAAGCCCGUGGCUUAACCACGGGACUGCUUUGGAAACUGUUUGACUAGAGUGCUGGAGAGGUAAGGGGAAUUCCUAGUGUAGCGGUGAAAUGCGUAGAUAUUAGGAGGAACACCAGUGGCGAAGGCGGCUUACUGGACAGUAACUGACGUUGAGGCUCGAAAGCGUGGGGAGCAAACAGGAUUAGAUACCCUGGUAC
rnacentral:rRNA from 1 species